rnacentral:lncRNA from 1 species
CAUUAUAUGCUAAUUAUAAUACAUUAGCAUGCUAAAAGCCACGCCCAACAGCACCAUGACAGUUUACCAAUGUCAUGACAAUGUCAGGAAGUCACUCUAUAUGGUCUAAAAAGGGGAGGAACCCUCAGUUCCUAGAAGCACACAUCCCUUUCCCAGAAAGCUCAUGAAUAAUCCAGCCCACGUUUAACAUAUAAUUGAGAAAUAACUAGAAGUAUCCUUAAUGGAGCAGUGCAAGCCACUGCUCUGCCUAUGGAGUAGCCAUUCUUUUAUUCCCUCACUUUCUUAAUACAUUUGUGUUUACUUUAUGGACUUGCCUUGAUUUCUUUCUUGUGUGAGAUCCAAGAACCCUCCCUUGGGGUCUGGAUUCAGACUCCUUUCUGGUAACAUCUUUCUGGCAAACCACUAAGGGAUUAUACUGAAAUGACCCCCGACCCAAAGGAAAAUCUUCUGUGUGCAGCACCACUUGGCCAACUUUGGGUAAGUGAGGCGCAUUUAACUCGGUAAAGAAUGGAAUUGGGUUAGAGACCCAACUUAGAAAAGUUAGAGUCUGCCCUAAGAUAGAGAGGGUUAAAGACCCCCUCUUAAUAAAAGGCAAGGGUGCUUGACUGAACCUGUUUGGGGCCCAACUUAGGAAGGUUAGAGCCCUUCCUAAGAUUUAUGGGGUUGGAGGCCCCUCUCAGUAAAGUUCCUCUCGGCUAAAAGUGGGUUUGGCACUACUGGAUGUUAACUGCUAUUUUCUUUGGACUUAUCUGCCUUGCACUCUUUGCUGAUGGCUACGGGAGACAGAAUUAAACAUAUUCAGGAUCAAAGGACAUGGCGAGCUAUUUUUCCCCAAAAGGGAGACACUCGAGAGCUGAUGGGACUUCUGGGUAAGAUCCGUUUGUGACUGAAAAGCAGCUGCUUGAACUUUUGAUUAAGUCUAACUGCAGUGGGUGGGUCUUUCUCUGGCCUCCCUGAGUUCCUCACCUUCCCCACUCUGCUUCAGGCAAUGCUUUUCUCUCUUUCUCUUCUUUCCCUGUCCUAUCUUUUCUGUCAUUCAGGGGAACCUUCUUGCCCAGAGAUCGCAUGUUGAAAAAUGUCCUUGGGAGCUUUGUCUUGGUCUCUGCCAUAUCUUGUAUACAUGUGGUGGUACUUUCUCUUGGUCUCUGCCAUCCAGGGAAGAGGAAUUUGGGGGUACAUGUCAUAGUUAUCUCUGAAAAUUAAAUUGAGCAGUUAAAAGCCAAUGCAAUCUCAAAAUUGACUGCUCUAGUCUCCUGGGAAGAGCAAUAAAAUAUUUCCAAUUCUGCAGCUUAGCAGCUAAGGCUUUGUGUUUUUCCAGUGGUGGCACAGGUUCAGGGUUCAAUUCCUGGCUUAGGGAAUAAGCCCUUUCUGGUUUGAUAUCUGCAUGACAUUUACCAUUUGUUGAUUAUCUUCCCCUCCACAAACCAUGUUGAAUUUUUCUUUCUUUGAGGACAGAAAUAUUGGCCAUUUGGCCUGGCUAAAUUUGGGUAAUAAGAAAUUUAAAAGGAUCUUUUUAAAAAGAGUAUUACAUUUAAAAGUCAGCCUAAUUAAAAGAGGAUAUUCAAGCUCUAAAAGCCUGGGACUCCUUGUGAACAACAAGUAGUGCCACAGACCUUGUUUUGGGAAAAAACUCUUUUUUUUUUUUUUUCUCAUGAAACCCCAGGAACCAGAAGUGGAGAGAUCCCUUCACAAUCUAAGGCUCUUUUCUCUUUUGCAUUGCAUUAUCAGGUGUUUUUAACCCUUGGGGGGAUCAGAAAUUGCUCCACAUUAUAAUAGAACUUUGGUGUGUAAUAACUGGGUAGGAAAUAUGCUUUGGGGAAUAGCUAAUGACAGUUAAAGGUGAAUACUUGGCUUUUCACAUGUUUGGAUCAGAGGAGCAUGCUCUUGGCCACCUAGAAGGUAUGGCAAUGUGCUCAUCCCUGCCCCACACUGAGACCUAAGACUCCCAUGGAAGAUGGGGUAAUCACAGAGUAGGUUGAGUGGCUUUGAAUUGCUUUGCAGUGAAAUGCACAGUAAAAUCAUUGCACUGUCUUGUUCUGUAGCAUUUGUCUUUUUUGGGAUUUAAGAUAUGAUAUAAAAUGGGACCCUUAAAUUUUGGGGGAUCUUUUUUGCUUUCCAGCUCUGCCUAUUUAUUAAGCCAUAGAAACUGCAUGUUUUCCUGGCCCUGUUCCUCCAAGGGCUCCACCCUGAAGCAGUAAUCUGAUUAAGAACCUGGCAAAUAAAAAAUCUUAAAACUACUGGAACAUUUCUGUCUAUGUAUUUAUAUGUGUUGUGUGUGUGUGAUAUGAAAGAGCUUUGAUUGUUUUCAAAAAUCAUAAGAGCUUAAAUCUAACAUUCUAUCAGAAAAUAAAAACGAAUGAAUGCCUUUUAGUCCAUGUGACUUUAGUAAAGUUUCAGAAAUAAAAACAGUUUUGAAGAUCAUUGGUAAAAUUCAAAUGUCUUCAAAAUUCAGACAUUUGGUCUGAAGUAGGUUAAAUAUUAAGUUUGCUAGAUGUGUUAGGGUCAUAAACGGCUUCUUUGAUUUUUGAAAAUUGUUCAACCUACUUACUUUGAAGCAGAUUCUAGGUAAAGCCUGGGGAUAUGUGGUGUUAGCCAUGCCUCCUAGUUAUGCUGGAUAGUCAAACCUUAUCUGCACUUCUUUCUGUGUCCUAGGCUCCAAAGGUAGUACAUAGUUAAAAUCACCUACAAUCCAGGUUUUUCCACCAAUGGUUCCUAAGAGUUCUUUCUUUAGGCUGUAUUUGUGAAUAUAUGUUUUUGGUAGGUGUUCCAAAAUUAUUAGAAACUUCUGUAACUCUGAUAUAACUUAGUGUAUGCUAUUAAUAGUUAUAAUAAUUGUUAUGUAAAAUUGUUGUAUGCCACAGAAGUCACCAAAAUUCUUAGUCAAUUGUGGCUUUAAUAGAGACUGCCCUAAAGUGUUUUGUCAUCCAGGGACAAUUGUUGCCUUGUUUUUUUUUUUUUUUUUUUUUUUUUUUCUUUAGAGGUGGUUUCAUAAUCAGCUACAGAACUCUAAUAGGUGUUCUUAAAUGCAGGUUUCUGAUAAAUUUGGAGAUUUUGAUGUUAGAAUAGAAGAAAAAACUUUCAGGAUCUCCUGGAGUGCUGAAAUGUUCACGAAUAUCAGGCAGAACAGGAGUUAACAACAUGGACUGGACUAAUAGAAGACUAAAGUAAUCUUUUUGACUUUUUGCUUAAAAGGAUCCUCUGUUUUGUUUUUCAGAGCCAAUAAAACUUUUCUUUUGAGUGAUUUGCAGCUUUUAACAAACUGAACCUGCUUAUUUCUGUGAACCAACCAGUGAUCUCUUAUGGCUGUUCAAAAGUAACAAGAGAGCAGCAACAUGGAUGCAGGGGGAGGCCAUAAUCAUAAGGGAGUUAACACAAGAAGAAACAACAAAAUUCCACAUGUUUUCAUGGAUAAGUGGGAGCUUAACACUGAGCAUGGGAACAUGAACAUGAACACGAGAAAUAUAGACACUGUGGACUCCUAGAGGUAGGUGGUAGGGAAUGGAAUGUUGGUUGAAAAACUACUUAUUGAACGUUAGGCUCACUACCUGGGUCCAAAAUUGCCAUGUAACAAUCCUACACAUGUAACCCCUGUAUCUCCCUGUAUCUUAAACAAAAGUUGAAAUUCGGAAAAGAAACUGCCUUCACGGUAUCCCUUAUGUGUUGCUAUAUCGUGUUUUCAGUUUCAUUUGUCUCAAGAUAUUUCAUGAUUUCCCUUUUUUGAUCCAUUGCUUAUUCAUGUGUGUGUUGUUUUGUUUCCACAUAUUUGUGUAUUUUCCAAUUGUCCUGUUGUUAUUAAUUUCUAGAUCCAUCUUAUUCUGAUUGAAAAAGAGGUUUGCUAUUAUUUCAAUCUUCUUAAAUUUGUUAAGACUUGGUUUGUGGUGUAACAUGUAACUUGUCCUGGAGAAUGUUCCAGGUGUGCUUGAAAAGGAUGUCUAUUCUGCAAAAUGGAUAUGCAAAAAUGGCUAGCAUUCCUAUACACCAACAAUAGGCAAGCAGGGAGCCAAAUCAUGAUUGAACUCCCAUUCACAAUUUCUACACAAAGACGGAAAUACCUAGAAACACAGCUAACAAGGGAAAUGAAGGACCUCUUUAAGGAGAACCACAAACCACUUCUCAAAGGAAUCAGAGAGAA